GAACGCCCUUAGCAAUAAGGGAUGCUGCGGACGGGUGAGGAACACGUGGGCUAUCUACCUUCAGGUGAGGAAUACCGGCGAGAAAUCGCCGACAAUACCGCAUACGCUCGGUCUCCGAGCAAAGCUCGUAAGGGCGCCUUGAGAUGAGCCUGCGCUCGAUUAGUUGGUUGGUGAGGUAACGGCUCACCAAGACUGCGAUCGAUAGCUGGUCUGAGAGGACGAUCAGCCACACUGGGAUUGAGAACGGCCCAGACUCCUACGGGGGGCAGCAGUGAGGAAUUUUCGUCAAUGGGGGCAACCCUGAACGAGCAACGCCGCGUGCAGGAUGACGGUUUUCGGAUCGUAAACUGCUUUUCUCUGGGACGAGAACGGACGGUACCAGAGGAAUCAGCCCCGGCUAACUACGUG
rnacentral:rRNA from 1 species